UACGGGGGGAGCAAGCGUUGUUCGGAUUUACUGGGCGUAAAGGGCGCGUAGGCGGUCAGCACAAGUCAGUUGUGAAAUCUCCGGGCUUAACUCGGAAAGGUCAACUGAUACUGUGCGACUAGAGUGCGGAAGGGGCAACUGGGAAUUCUUGGUGUAGCGGUGAAAUGCGUAGAUAUCAAGAGGAACACCUGCGGCGAAGGCGGGUUGCUGGGCCGACACUGACGCUGAGGCGCGAAAGCCAGGGGAGCGAACGGG
rnacentral:rRNA from 1 species